rnacentral:tRNA from 1 species
GGGGCUGAUAGCUCAGCUGGGAGAGCGCCUGCUUUGCACGCAGGAGGUCUGCGGUUCGAUCCCGCAUAGCUCCACCA